rnacentral:rRNA from 1 species
GAUGAACGCUGGCGGCGUGCCUAAUACAUGCAAGUCGAGCGAAUGGAUUAAGAGCUUGCUCUUAUGAAGUUAGCGGCGGACGGGUGAGUAACACGUGGGUAACCUGCCCAUAAGACUGGGAUAACUCCGGGAAACCGGGGCGAAUACCGGAUAACAUUUUGAACCGCAUGGUUCGAACUUGAAAGGCGGCUUCGGCUGUCACUUAUGGAUGGACCCGCGUCGCAUUAGCUAGUUGGUGAGGUAACGGCUCACCAAGGCAACGAUGCGUAGCCGACCUGAGAGGGUGAUCGGCCACACUGGGACUGAGACACGGCCCAGACUCCUACGGGAGGCAGCAGUAGGGAAUCUUCCGCAAUGGACGAAAGUCUGACGGAGCAACGCCGCGUGAGUGAUGAAGGCUUUCGGGUCGUAAAACUCUGUUGUUAGGGAAGAACAAGUGCUAGUUGAAUAAGCUGGCACCUUGACGGUACCUAACCAGAAAGCCACGGCUAACUACGUGCCAGCCGCCGCUGUAA